GUCCUUAACGGGAAAAAGUGAGAUGUGGGUUAAUAGUCCAUAUCUGUGAUGGUACCUAACGAAGAAAGCACCGGCUAACUUCGUGC
rnacentral:rRNA from 1 species